rnacentral:rRNA from 4 species
CGCGAACCAUCGAGUCUUUGAACGCAAGUUGCGCCUGAGGCCACCCGGCUGAGGGCACGCCUGCCUGGGCGUCA